CUGCGACCGCUUCGCUGAUGUGCGACGGAGUCCGUAGCGGCCGCAGUUGAAUUGGCACGACCUCCAUCGCACCGCGCGGAGCCGCCGGCCGCCGCGCGGCCCCUAGAACGGGAGAGAACGCUGAGCGUUACGAU
rfam:Corynebacterium atypicum strain R2070, complete genome.